UCCUCUGGGCACCAUCUCUCCAGCCUGUUACUUGCUUUAUGCUUCAUAAGCAACCUUGCUGCCUGGAAUCCAGGCAGCCGCAGUGUAGCCUUUGCUCAAGGCUAGCCCCUGCUGUUCUCUGCAGCCUACCCCUCCCUCCUCCUCUAAUGGGUUAAGGGUUUGGCGUUGCUGCCAAGUGGCUCAGAUGUGGUGUUGCUGUGGCUGUGGCAUAGGGCUGCAGCUGCAGCUGCAGCUUCAAUGCAGCCCCUAGCCUGGGAACUUUCAGAGGUGUGGCUUUAAAAAUACAAAAUCCUGAAGAAAAAAAAAAAAACACCUGUAUUUUCAAGUGUGCAUUGGACAGGUCCCCACCAAAGUUGUGUCACACUUUGAGUUGAUAUCACCAGGGGAAUUUGAAAAUGUCUUCAAAAUUGUUCCUCUCCUUGUAUUCCCUGUAUUAGCAAAGGGCAGGACAACCUGCCCCUAUUCUAAGCCAGAAUCAUGUAUAUUUCCUUGACCUUUCCUCUGUUCCAUUCUCACAUCCAAUGUUAUCCAGUUGGGUCAAUCUUGCCUUGUAUAUAACUCUCAAAUUUAUUUAUUUACUUAUUUUCUCAUUCGCACCGUCAUAAUUUCGGUUUUGCCAUUAGCAUCACUAUAGUCUGUUACCUAAAAAGGAACCUGGGGCUUUUUUCCCUCUACAUGCUGUCUUGUUAGAGUGUGGAUCCUGAUUUGGGAAGUCUGAGAUGGGGUUUGAGGUUCUGCACUUCUAACGAGCUCCUGGUGCUGCUACUGGUUCAUGGGUCAUACCCACAGGAUCAAUGGUCCUGAAAAGCAAUGCCCUUCUCUCAUGUCCUCCACCCUCUGGUCUCCUUCCUAACCUCCAGCCCGCAGAACAACUCCACCUGCCCUCCACAGGUCUUUCUCCAUAAUGUUGACAACCUUCUAAUCUCUCACAGCAAAAAUAUGAGAAUGCCACUGUCCUGUUUGAAAAGAUUUCACUAGAAUCUCAUUGCCUUUAGGAUAAAGCAUAAGCUGCUUGGUAGAGUAUACAACAUGAUUUUAGCAAUCUGAGACUCACCUGCCUCUUAUGCCCGGUCUCUCAAUCUAUAGGAUAUUUAUGUACUUUUUUUUUUAAGGGAAAACAAUUGAAGAAUCUAUUGGGGUCUCAAAGUGGUCUUUAACCUUAGGAAGGGAAAUGACUGCUGUCCUUUCUCCGAUGAGUAAAUACUAGAGAUGCAGAAACAAUGACCCAUGUAGACUGGAUGAUUUCCCUGAGCUUGCAAAGCCCAGGAAGUUGCAGACUCUGCACUAGACCUUCCAUCCUUAGAGUUCUAGUCCAGUGCCAAUGGCUUGGAGCCAUAAAACCCACCCUUGGUUAGUAAGUGAGAUUGUGGUCAAAAUGAGAUGUGGCCACACGGAGGUGUGAGGACAUAAGGUCACAACAGCAAAGUAACUUGCUUUAGGAUCUUGAGUUGCUCCCCUCAAGUAUGUCCACAUGGAGGGCAGGCUUGACUCUACUUACAGGCUAAGGGAAAAUAAAAGGAGGAAAGAGAGAAGCUCUGGCAAAGCAGGAAUGGAAACUGGACCAUGGCUGGAAGAGAUGAGUGGGAAUGUGCCAUGUCAAGAUUCCUGACCAAUGAGCCACUGAGGAAAGAACUUGGUUAUUCAGCCUGGAGGAGAGAGGUGCUGGGGCUCAGAGGCUUUUCCAUGGAGUCAUGAUGCCCUCCUUCCAGUAUCUGCAAAAUUACUCUAAGGGUGGAAGUGUCAGGGAAGCGGGUUCCUGCCCACUAACAGGUAGAAACAUCCAGGGAUGGGAUGGGUGCGUUGUGACACGGCAGGUGAUACUCUUGCGGAGUUUCCAUCCUGCAUCACGUGGCUUCUGUGGCCACGGCUCCUUUACAGAAAAAUAAUGCACAUUCAUCAGCAAAGUAAUACACACUCGUUCUACCAAGUAUGGACGAGAGAAAGAAAAACCAUCUAAAAGCCUGUCGUCCCUGUCCAAAACUUUUGUAAUUAUCUUUCACAUGCAUGGGUACAGGCUUGGUUUCUCUUAUGACUUGAAUCCUCCAAAAUUGCUGCUAUCAAACCAUGUGAUGUUCAGAAUGGCCAUGCAGUAUGGCUCAAGCCAAUACUGUAGGCAGAUUUAAAAAAAUGGGACCAGGGCUUUCUUGCUCUUUAUAUUUGGAUUUAUAAAAGUUGUGUGUCAUUGUCUCCCAUUCCCCCCCUGACAUUAAGCAUUUUAAUAGCUAAAACUGCACACGAUUAAAGCAGGUGACUUCUGGUUGCUGCCUUUCCCACAGCUCCAAGAUUGUACACACUUCGGGGGAGGAAGCCCUAGUGAUGGGCGCUCACCAGAUGAACAAUUCAGUGGUCACAGAUGUAGAUGACUAUUUGCUCUCUCCUUGUGAGUUUCUAGGGUGCUCUACGGCUAACUUAUUUCAUAAAGUAUGACAAGGAACAUCAAAAUAUUUCUGUAAAGGACCAGAUAGUAAAUUGUCAGCUUUGUGGGUUGUAGGGUCUCUGUCUUGACUGCUUAGGUGUGCUGUUGUCGCCUGAAGGCCGUCCACAGACAAUCUAUCAAUGAGUAUAUGUGGCUGGGCGCCAAUAAAAUUUUGUUUACAAAAACAGAGAGCAACUCCGAUUUGUCCAAACAGAUUCAACCGUCCUAUAAAGCAAACUGACUUUGUGUUUAGUUUGAAACAUUGCUUGAAAAACAGAAAAUGGAUUCAGCAUACACUGAUUUUCUUUGAGGUACCUGUGGCCAUGCGUAUUUGUUUGUAUGAUCACCUAGAAAUAAACAGGGUUUCCAGGAGACUGCUAGUUUAACUUUUGGUUACUAUGUUAAAACAUCAUCUCUGGGUGUUCUUACUGUGGCACAGUGGGUUGAGAAUCUGACUGCAGCAGCUCAGGUUGCAGCUGUGGCUCAGAUUCAAUCCCAGGCCUGGGAAAUUUCCAUAUGCCUUGGGUGCAGCCAUAAAAAAACCAAACCAAACCAAACCAAACCAAACCAAACAAAAAAAACAAAAUCAUCAUCUCUGAAAACCAUUGCUACUUCUUGUUUCUGCAGAAAAUAUCCAAACCCACCAGCAGAACAGAAGGAGAAAUUUAUGUCGACUUUCAAGCUGUAAAUUUACUAUCAGAGUUGUUCAUCUUUAAAGAUACUGUUUUGACUCUCAGAAGACAUUUUUUUUAAAUGUCAAAAUAAAUAGCAUUUGACAUUUUAAAAUACAAUUAGUGCUGAGCAUUCAGCGGUGAGCGGGUGGGAGAAGCAGCUGGGCUUGUGGUGGAGGGGUGGUUUCUGGUCUCCCCCGUUUAUUACGCUUUGGGAAUAAUGGCAAAAGGUGGUGACUGUUACGUCUUUGGGUCUGUUUAAUCUCCAGCUGUGAACAUGUGAUCCAUCAUCUCGUGGACAACAAAAGACUUUUUCCAGGACCAGCAAUGAUUUCCAUGUGCUCACAAGGCUUUAUGAAUGUGCUGUCCCGCCCGUAGGUCAGCCCGGCGAUGCAUUCUCUGCGCUUCGCGACUUAGGGGAGCUCAAAAAAGAGGACUGAGACUUAUGGUGUCAAAGAUUGCCUUUACUGCUAACUUACUAGCUUGGGAGGCUGUGCCCUAGUUUUCUUCCGAACAAAAAUAAGAGAAAUAACACUUGUAAGUCUGUGAUUUCAAAUGCAAAUAUUAUCAGUGUGCAAAUUAUUGUACUUGUCUCCCAAUUGCUGCCUUUUAUUUACAAAGGGCUGAGUGUCUUGCUUCUCCUUUUGGACGGGACAUUGAAAGGACACCAAAACCCUUCUCAGAGGUUCUAAAGGAAAUGUAUGUUGUCCGGAUGUGGAAAAUCAGGAGUGCUACUUUCAGAGGGUAAGAAAACAUGAGCUCUGUCUGCUAUGGAAAUGUCAGAUUAUUUGGUUAAAAUCCCUCAAUGUCUAGAGAUGUAUAGGAUGCAUCUCAUUGGCAAAUAAAUACUUUUCAAUUCAGUUUUGAACCUGGGGAGCUAUCUGAGGCAAGGCCAUUUUCAGACUCUUUAUUCUCUAUAGAUUCCUGAAACUGAAAUUGCUUAAAAGAAUUUCAUGUUUUAGUUGUAACCGUUUAAGGACAUAUCAUGGGAAGGCUGUGAAAUCGACCCCAGGGUUUCCCACUUCCACCAUUUUCAAAAUGGAUAGAGCUGGUUGAAAGCUGGCGUGACGCUUGUGGGGGGUUUCUAAGUUGCUUUCCAUCACGUACUUGGUGAAAUAUGGCCAAGCAGAUGGAAAGCUGGUGAUUCAUCUCCACGUAAGAUUUCCUGGGGAGGUUGUGAUGCGUUCCGUGUGCAGAAUUUCCCCCACUGUACCCCGCCUAAGCUUUUGCCUUAAUGAAACAGAUACCUUUGCUCUAGUUCAGAUUUUCAAAUUAGUGACCCCAGAAAUGUUUUCUAGAUGAAUGUUUUCCUCUCUUUAUUUUUCGGUCUUUGUGUGUCCCCACCCCCCUUUUCCAGCCUUAUUUACAAGGGUUUCACUCUUUCCAGGGACCUGAGGAGUGAGGAUUUAAACUUACCUGUUUAUUGGUGCUGGCAGGGGUCAGAGAGCAGAGACCUGUGGGGUCUAUAGCAGUGUAAGUGUUCUCAAGAGGAGGACAUUAAAUCAGGAAGAUUUUCAACAAAUAAUGGCAACGUGUGUCUUGGUGAUGGUAGAAGGUAAAUAUUUAGGCAGGAUAAGCUGUUGAUGGCAAAAAUGAAUUUUGAGGGAGAUCAGGGUCAAGUGUAAGUAUUAACAGUAUUUGAUUUAUCAGCAUUAUUCAAAAAAUGUGGCACCCUCUACAAAGUGCCAAGUGCCUUGUUUGUUAUUUCGUGGGAGAGUACAUCUUUCAUGGUUGAUUUCAAAGUCUCAGUGACAUGACAGGAAGAAAUGAGAUAUGGAUGCUUUUCAUAACAAUAUGAAAAUCCAGAAAAUCAGAAAAAUUUUUAAUGGUCUGCGAUGAUUGACCAUUUAUCUUAUAUCCAUACAGUGGAACAUAGGGAGUCACUGGAAAUUUUUUAGUUUGUUUACUUUUAAACUAUUAAAAUGUUUAAUGUCAGAAACAGGACGUUAUGCUACAGAAUUAAAUUUUUUAAAUCGGGGUACAAAGAGCAUGAUCACUCUGAUUCUAUUUCCUUAAAUCUACCUGCAGUAUUAGGUUGAGCCAUAUCACAUUGCCAUUCUGUAUGUCACAUGGUUUGAUAGCGGCAAUUUUGGAUGGUUCAAGGUAUAAGAGAAAACAAACACAUACACGUGCACAUGAAAGAUAAUUACCAGAAGUUCUGGAUGGUGAUUUUAAGCAUUUAGUUAUUUUUUUUCCUUUUCUUAUUUAUACUUUCCAGAAUGAAUGUGCCUUACUUCUCUAAUGAAAGAGAGAGAGAGAAGAUUUUUCUAGAUGCUCCAGAGGCAGAACCUUUCAUUGCGACCUGGUAUUGGGUUGGGAAUUUAUCUACACUGUUUGUCAGUAGAAGAUUUGAGAAUUUUUGCUCUGGCUUCCAGAGUUCUUAAGAAAUUGCCAGAUUUUGUGCAAACACCUACCCUUCUCUUCCCUUCCUCAAGUAAGUUUCCCCUAACUAAAUGUGCGAUUGUUGGUGUGUUGGCAUCUGGCAUUUAGUAGAUGAUCAGUAAAUAUUUGUGAAUGACUGAAUGAGUGUAAUCACAUGAGGGAAUGAUUAAAUAAUUAUUGUAUAAUAUAUUCUGAAGUUUUGCUUUUUCCCUCCCAUUUAAACCACUUGAUUUGUUUGAAGAAGGAACGUGGCUCAGUUGUCAGUCGUACAUGCAUAGCACGAAGCGGAAAAUCCAGUCUC
rnacentral:lncRNA from 1 species